UACAGAGGUCCCAAGCGUUGUUCGGAUUCAUUGGGCGUAAAGGUGCGUAGGUGGCGCGCUAAGUCAGGUGUGAAAUUUCGGAGCUUAACUCCGAAACUGCAUUUGAUACUGGCGUGCUUGAGGACUGGAGAGGAGACUGGAAUUUACGGUGUAGCAGUGAAAUGCGUAGAGAUCGUAAGGAAGACCAGUGGCGAAGGCGGGUCUCUGGACAGUUCCUGACACUGAGGCACGAAGGCCAGGGGAGCAAACGGG
rnacentral:rRNA from 1 species